AGCACAAAACAUCCAUUUAAUCUGAGGUAUCUAUUACAAUCAUGUACAAGUCCUGUGGAAAUGAACACUCACAGACAGCUGAUAGAAAACACUUUGUAAGACCCACGUCAGACCAGACAGGCUGUAGCUGUCAACCCCUGGGACAAUGACAGCGUGGCUGGGGUCAAAUCUAAUCCAAUUAUGUUAGUUCUAGAAGGUGAAUUGAGAAAUUCUAGACUCAAAAAGUGCCUUGCAUUUUCAACAGGGGACAUUCCUUUCUGUUCCUCAAUUGGAAUUAUGAUUCAGGUUCUGAAUUUCCUGAAUGGAAUGUACUCCUACCACUGACUGUGACAUAAUACUGUAGUGGACAGAGAAUUAUGUUACUCUUCAUGUUUCAGCUUAGUCAAUAGAAGGGAUAUGUAAUACUGUAUGGGACUUAAACUGAAAUCAAGUCAAACAAAGCAACCCUACUUGUUCAUGGUAAAGAAGAGAAUUGUGGGGAUAGGCAGUGUGCUAGGAUUCAAAUGUUUCUUUAAAACGGUUCAAACUGCUCCUCUUUAUUGAUACGACACUUGUUUGAAUAGUAGAGGGACAUCGAUAAUGUAAUAAAAGGCACCGUAACAAGGCUGGUUGUUUUUCAUACGUUUGUAUGAAAAAAAAUUAAAAUAAACACUCUUCCCACUGGCCUCCAUUUAGCGUUUCUGUGCACAAUCAACACAAACCUGCAGAAUUGAUAUGGACCGUAGUCUGUUGUUGAUCAUAUUAGGGGACCAAUGAAGUCAUAUUUACCCUAUUCUAUAACCAGUCAGUCACGGGGCGGCGCACCAUCUUAGAGGCUCUAGCAAAAUGGCUAUGUAGCACCUCUGACAUACAGAACAAUACAAUCACUAGCUGUUUUUGUUCUGGUGUCUCACAUACCUUUACAUGUCUAUGUUGAAGUACCACGUUGGGAGGAGGUGUGUGGAGGGGAGAGUACCACGUCGGGAGGAGGUGUGUGGAGGGGAGAGUAUCACGUCGGGAGGAGGUGUGUGGAGGGGAGAGUACCACGUCGGGAGGAGGUGUGUAGAGGGGAGAGUACCACGUCGGGAGGAGGUGUGUGGAGGGGAGAGUACCACGUCGGGAGGAGGUGUGUGGAGGGGAGAGUAUCACGUCGGGAGGAGGUGUGUGUGUGUGGAGGGGAGAGUAUCACGUCAGGAGGAGGUGUGUGGAGGGGAGAGUACCACGUCGGGAGGAGGUGUGUAGAGGGGAGAGUACCACGUCGGGAGGAGGUGUGUGGAGGGGAGAGUACCACGUCGGGAGGAGGUGUGUGGAGGGGAGAGUACCACGUCGGGAGGAGGUGUGUGGAGGGGAGAGUACCACGUCGGGAGGAGGUGUGUGGAGGGGAGAGUACCACGUCGGGAGGAGGUGUGUGGAGGGGAGAGUACCACGUCGGGAGGAGGUGUGUGGAGGGGAGAGUACCACGUCUGGAGGAGGUGUGUAGAGGGGAGAGUACCACGUCGGGAGGAGGUGUGUGGAGGGGAAAUAGAAAAUAGUAUUUACUACAUUUUGUAGCAGCAUUCGUUUAGUGUAUCAAAUAGUC